AAUGAACGCUGGCGGCGUGCUUAACACAUGCAAGUCGAACGGUAACAGGGUGCUUGCACCGCUGACGAGUGGCGAACGGGUGAGUAAUACAUCGGAAUGUACCCAGUAAUGGGGGAUAACGCUUCGAAAGGAGUGCUAAUACCGCAUACGCCCUGAGGGGGAAAGUGGGGGACCGCAAGGCCUCACGUUAUUGGAGCAGCCGAUGGCUGAUUAGCUAGUUGGUGAGGUAAAGGCUCACCAAGGCGACGAUCAGUAGCGGGUCUUAGAGGACGAUCCGCCACACUGGAACUGAGACACGGUCCAGACUCCUACGGGAGGCAGCAGUGGGGAAUCUUGGACAAUGGGCGAAAGCCUGAUCCAGCAAUGCCGCGUGCGUGAAGAAGGCAUUCGGGUUGUAAAGCGCUUUUGUCUGGGAGCAAAUCCUGGCCUCUAAUACAGGUCGGGGAUGAGAGUACCAGAAGAAUAAGGACCGGCUAACUACGUGCCAGCCGCCGCCGUAACAC
rnacentral:rRNA from 1 species